CCGGCAGUUGGCGAGGCGCGCGGACUCGGGGAGGCUCCGGCGCUGGGCUCCGGGUCGUGGUCCGCGUGGGCACCUGCUGUCCCUGGAAGGGGCUCCGGCCAGGUUACUCAGAAAGGGCUUUUAAAACUAAAUGAAAACAUGUCUGUGCUUCCAAAGAGAAGUAAGGGAAUACCUACUUCAAAGAAAAAGGAAGGAGCUGAGGGUGGAGCGAAUCCAUCAUGGCCCUGGCUUCAAUGCCCAAUACCAAAAAUAAACAGAACCAAGGAAAAGCAAAACCCCAUGGAAAGGAUGCUAAACCCUUGGCUGCAUCAGCAUUUUCAAACUCCAGUACAAAACUCUACACCUGGAGCACUCCUAGCAACCACCAGCUUCUACCUGAGGAGAGUAUUCUUUGAUCUGCAGUGCUGGCAUGUACUCUGGUUUGCUUAGUGAAUGUGUUUGGACACAUUCUUUUUUUUUGCAAGACUCUUUAAAAUUGAGAAUCAGCCCAAAUUAAAGAGUUGCUACAUACUUAUUGACCUGUUCAUUUGUGUGGAGGCCCAUUUUUGAGGUUAAUUUUGGUCACAAAUGUGUUGAUACACAGCACAUUCAUAUUGACAUUUAUUACAUGUUAAUAUUGUGUUAAAUGUGUUUAGUGUAUUUAUU
rnacentral:lncRNA from 1 species